rnacentral:rRNA from 1 species
GCCGCAGUAUUUUGACUGUGCAAAGGUAGCAUAAUCAUUAGUUUUUUAAUUGAAAGCUGGAAUGAAUGGUCGGAUGAAAAAGAUACUGUCUCAUUAUAAUUUCUUAUGAAUUUUAUUUUUAAGUUAAAAAGCUUAGAUUUUAUAGAAAGACGAGAAGACCCUAUAGAGUUUAAUAGGUAUAUUUUAUUAUAAAUUAAGGCUUAAAUUUUUAUUGUAAUUUAGCUUAUUUUGUUGGGGUGACACUAGAAUUUAAAUAACUUCUUUUUAUAUUAACACUGAUUGGUGGAUAAUGGAUCCUGAUUUUUGGAUUAAAAGACUAAAUUACCUUAGGGAUAACAGCGUAAUUCUUUUGGAGAGUUCUAAUCGAUAAAAGGGAUUGCGACCUCGAUGUUGGAUUAAAGUUAAAUUUUGGUGCAGAAGCUAGAAUUUUG